rnacentral:rRNA from 1 species
CCUACGGGAGGCAGCAGUGAGGAAUAUUGGUCAAUGGGCGCGAGCCUGAACCAGCCAAGUAGCGUGAAGGAUGACUGCCCUACGGGUUGUAAACUUCUUUUAUAAAGGAAUAAAGUGCGGCACGUGUGCCUUUUUGUAUGUACUUUAUGAAUAAGGACCGGCUAACUCCGUGCCAGCAGCCGCGGUAAUACGGAGGGUCCGAGCGUUCUCCGGAUUUAUUGGGUUUAAAGGGAGAGUAGAUGGGUUGUUAAGUCAGUUGUGAAAGUUUGCGGCUCAACCGUAAAAUUGCAAUUGAUACUGGCAGUCUAGAGUACAGGUGAGGUAGGCGGAAUUCGUGGUGUAGCGGUGAAAUGCUUAGAUAUCACGAAGAACACCGAUUGCGAAGGCAGCUUACUAAACUGCCACUGACAUUGAUGCUCGAAAGUGUGGGUAUCAAACAGGAUUAGAUACCCUAGUAGUC